AUAUGGAAUUGAUCGAAUUAAGCCUUGGAAUGGAGGCCUACAAAGUGAUAGCUUCCAAAUCCAGGGAACCCUAGGAUAUUUUGAAUGGGAAAUCUUGAGCUAAAUUUGGUUCAUGGAGACAAUACUUUCUUCUCCUAAGACAGGAAGGGGAUAGUUGCAGAGACUCAAUGGAAGUUAUUCUAAUGAAUGAAUCGCAUUUGGUCCAGCACUAUAUUUAUAUAAUGCUCUAUUUAUACCUCAAAAGUGGGUACGUUAUAUAAUAUCAUACAAAACUUGCAAUCGGAACUUAAAUCGUUCCAAGAAUUAUAUUCAUAAGAUGGAUUCCAGAUUCAAGUUGGAGUAUUGAUUUGAAAUUAAGUAAUCCGAUUACGAAUUUAUGUACUCUAAAUAGAGAAUCGAGUUUGUAUUUGGAAUAAAUGGUUGGACGAGAAUAAAUAUAGAGUCCAAUUCCACCUGUCAAUGUCAA
rnacentral:ncRNA from 1 species